rnacentral:piRNA from 1 species
UGUGGAUUGUUAGAGUCAGCUUUGGACACA